rnacentral:tmRNA from 1 species
GGGGGUGACUGGAUUUGACGACAAGCCGAAAUGGUACGCAAGCAUGUGGAGUGAAGACUGUGUUCUCUUAAAUCAAGUCGGUCGAAAAAUUAAUUGGCAACAAUGAGUAUGCUCUCGCUGCCUAAUCGAAGUAUAGUAGAUUAAGAGCUUAAUUCCGUCACAAGGUGACAGAACGAGACGUCGCUCCGAGGAUGUUGUUCCGAAUCCAGAGAUUAAGCGGCGCAGGUUAAAUCGGAAAUAAUCAGAUUGAGCCUCGACAAUCUGGUGAAUAAUUAGAGGAUAAGGAUGCAGUUGGUGGCUCAGGUCUUGCUGCAUCACAAAAACAAAGGCUGAGAUAAGCAUGUAGAAAACGUAUGGUUUCCUUGUGCGGACCGGAGUUCGAUUCUCCGCACUUCCACC